CCAGAGCUCUAGUUGGUCUGUGUGCAUGGCACAGAGAGACACAGGGAGAGAGAGAGAGAGAAUAACCCUGCAGCUCCCGAAGCGCUUAUUGGGGAAUCUCUGCCUCGGAAAGUUACUAUUCCCCUGCUGCAGUUACUGAAUAGGGAGAUCACCUAUCGUCAUCAAUGCAAACCAAGACGACAAUAAUAACCAGUUUUCCCCGUGGAGGAGGAAUUUCCAUGAGCUACUAACUUUUUUUUUCCUAUUUGGCCAGCUCUAUAUCUGGCUCAAUGGUAAAACAAACAUUUUUAAAAAUAAACAAGGGAAACUUGUGCCUUAUUUUACUCUGGGCUACCUUAAAUAAUUAGUUCAGUUGACAAAUGAGAGAGUGCAAGUUUCCAUCACACGCCUACACUUUUUGCUAGUUCAUCUAAUUAACACCGUCAUGCAUUUGGGCCAAAUCCUGGCCUGAUUUACACCCUCUGCAGCUUCACUGUCUGAAGUGAAAGAGAUGGUACACGAUGUAAAUCAAAGCAGAAUGUGAUAAUGUGUGUGAUGGAGUGGAAUAAAUGUCAACAGUGCUUGAUCUGAAAUUAGUUUGUGUGUGAGGAGAAGAGGAUUAGAUGGGAAGAGUCAAUAGAAGUUUGCUGAUGAAAAAUAUUAUUUAAUAAAAUGCUCUGGAUACAAACGACCAUUCUUUUAUCGGUGUUUACUAUUGUUUCAACUUUCCUGACAUGGAAAGCACUUUGAUAAAUGUUACUUAGUAGCUGUUUCACUAUUGCAACUGUACACAAUAUCCCUUUUUGUAUCCUUUGCUGAAAUACUAUUUUACAACUUAAACUAGUACCCUUCAGCAACACACAUUGGAUAGUCUUACGCCUUGUACAACACCAGCACACUAGAUGCCUUCUCUUCCCCCACUCCCCACAAUAGUGGAAGGACAGUAGGCGUAGAAGACUGUGAUAAGUAAGGUCAAUGGCAAUUUCUGCAUUGAUAUAAAUAGGUUUUGCAUUUAAAGUCAAUAGGUAACACGCAUUUUGGAGAUAUGUAUGUAUGUGUCUACAUUAAAUGUAAACCAUCUGGUUAAGAUUUAUAGAUUAAUUUUGGUACAAGUGUUCAUAAAUCUAAACUGUGGACACAUUAAUAUAUCCGGCGAUUUAUUAAAUUGAAGUUCCAUUUAUAUAACUUUCUAAACCUUAUACAAAUAGAAUGAAAUGUUCAUAAAUUUCACUUUUUGCUAACUGCUAGUUGGUUAUUGUUUAUAAGGAACACCAAAUAUUAGGCAGAAAGAGAGACUUAUUGUAAGAUCAGUGAUUCGUGAUCACAUCUUUGAUAAUAACUAGUAAAAUAGUAGAAGGAUGGCUUCCUUUGAUACAUUUCAACAAGCUGUCUGUUCAGAUGCAUUUUUCUAUUGUGGAAAUAGAGGAAAUUACAUUUCGAUACAGGUUCAUUUAUAAAAAAUCUUCUAUGUAUUUAUAAAUGUUUGUAUUUAUCCUUCUAUCUUUCUUGUUCAUUCAUUGCAGUCUGGUCUUCUCCUCCUCCUUCCUUCGCUUCUUUCAUGUGAAUGGGUCCUAUCUUUGAGCAGUUAAAGCUGGGUUACCAGAAAAAAAUGGCUAAUCCUUUUCCAGCUGCAGUAAAUUUACAACCCGGCAAAGCCAAGCUAAAGCCGCUGCAGCUAAAAUGAUUUCAGCGUGAUGUCUGGGGCUGAGAAUGGAGAGACAGUUUAUAAAACGACCUGUGGAUCAAUGAAAAGGAGAUUAUGGCGUAUCUGAAUAUGAAUACAGCCAUCGGAUCAAUAUAUCAUCCUUGUCCUCCACCCCCCCCCCACCCCUUUCCUUCCUUCCGUUUUUACUCCUAGGAUCCGAAAGGAAGGACACGUAACUUGAAGGGGCUUUAGCUGCCUCCUCGAAAUUUUGGUGCAUUUAAAAAAAUGUCUCUGUUUUUUGUAUGCUUUUAUCUAAAAUAAAGCCACUUGAAUGACAAUGCAGAUUAUUAAAUCUCUGUUUCAAACAAUCUGGGAAUGGAGACAAGCGCCGGCAACUCAUUGAAACCUGGAAAUCUUAAAGAGAGACGGAUAUACAAUAGAUGGACGGAUCUGGUUGUAAAUAAUCACUGCAUCAACUAUAACACUUAAGUUUUAUACAGAUGUAGUAGCUGAAGGGAUGAGUGGUUUGCUUUGCAAUUGUAGGUAGCAGGCUCCUCCUAGCGGUUAAAGUCGCACACUCCACGCAAGAUGUGAUUUCUUUAGAGGCAUUUCUGUGCAGGACGCUGGCUUCAUUCCUCCUCUCCUCCCGGAUUUCCCCAGUGUCUCCAAAGGAUGAAACUGUGAUUGUGGCAGAGCUCAGUGCUCAGAAUCGAGAAAGGCGAUUUUUUUAAGUAAUUGAGUAAAAGCAGGAAGUCCAGAUGUGACAAUAAACAGGGACCUUCAAAAGUUAAAGAUCGCCCGCUUUGUGCGAUUAAACAACCAAUGACCACCGAAGCCAAGGGAACUGCCUUUCAUCAAGAAAGCAAGCUCAUCACGUCUAGAAGCUGGAAGGUGUGUAAUGGGAAUGAGGCAGGAGAUUGCAGGAAGAGAAUGAAUGGUCUCCUAUUAGGGCAAUUGAAUGCUGCUCUGGAGAAUUGGAUACUAUCAUUCCCUAUGCCACAGUCUUCUUGUGUGAUGCUGGCUCUGUUCUAUCCAUGGCUAACACAUUUAUCUCUGACUGAGUCAGCAAAUGAUUGUGCGGCAGGAUCAAUGACUGGGCAGACAAUGGAUCCUUCUCCUCCUUUCCUCAUGCAAGAUGUGAUAAUUGAGAUGAGAGGUACUAUGUUCUGGAGCACACAUAGAAACCCACUCACCGUCCAGCAAUACAAAGCAGGGUCCCCAGUCAGUUGGCCAGUAAUCACAACUCUGGCCCUACUGCUGCCACACUGGAUUCCUGGAAAAACUUGCAACAAUAAAACAGAAUCCUCAAAUAUAAGCCAACCCCUUCAUGUGCUCUGAAGAAGGUGAAAAGUAGAACUGGUCAGGAAUUUUUCAUUAUUGGGUAAGGGAGGGAGGUGUGAGGGAUGAGGCUUGGGGGGAGAGAGAGAGAGACAGACAGAAGACAAACAGACAGACAGACACACAAAGUCUGUCUCUCUCUCUCUAUCUACCUCCCUCUACCCUUAUCCUAGAAUAAUCCUUUUCUUCGUGGUUUGGGCACUUGCCUAGAAUAUGGAAAAGACAGGUUCAAGUCUCUGCCCUACUUUGAGCUGGAGUGGAUUUUUUUAAUCCCCCAAAUAGUUUUGAAAGGUCUGUUUUAUCUCAAUGAGGAUUGGGGGAAAAAAUUGAAAUCUAAAAGAUGUUCAUGAAAUGGGAAAAUCAUUUCCCACUCAGCUCUAGUGAAACUACAUCGUGCCAGUUUUGCAAUGAGGAAAAGUCUGUCUUAGCUCUGAAAAGGGAAACAGCAGAGCCCAGAACAUGAAGUACAGAAGACUUUUAGGACUCAUCUGCAUGGGAAGAAAACUUGACAUAUCUUGCGUGGAAGAGCUGCUGUGUUUUAAAAUCACACACUAGCUAUUUUGCACCAAUGUCUUUGUGAAUUAUAUAUCUACACAAGCCCUAACUUGCAUGGAAGGAAGGGAGGGUUAGUGGGUGACUAAAGUGGGAGCUGACUGGACAUUCUAUAUAUGGUUGGAAACUUUAAAUGAUACCCUCCAUCCCCUAAUGGGCAGGGAACUUGGCCAAUUGAAACUCUUGUGGCAUUGGUUGAUCUACUUGUGGAAGAGGCAAAGCAAACCUGGCCCAAGCCAAAACCCCACCUAUGCCACAGAAGGUUCUGGGGGCAGUGAAGGGGGCAACACUCACUCCAAUUUCAGCCAGGACCCUUGGGGUGCCCUUUUCCUACUAAUCUUAUCAAACCACCUCGGCACACACUCCUCUCUCCCCCAGGCAAGUGUCGGAUUGCAGGGCUGCAUUCACUCUCUGUGAACUCAGAUUCAGAAUUGCUGAUAUAUUUUACUCUGUUUCCCUCAGCCUGAUGUAUGUGGUGGUUAUUCAUACACAUGGGCCCAGGCUAGUUUUAUAAAGAUAAACAAUUAUUUGCUUCUGAACCCUCAACCUUUUAUAUGUCACAACAAAAAUACUCUACAUAUUACUGCAUCCCAUGGCUGAUAUUUCAGCCAGAUCUUAAUAAGAAGCCUCAUUUUUUAUUCUUCUUUUCAUUGCAUAGCUCCACUGAACCCAUCAAACAUUACAUUAUAACAAGUUCCCACCAUUCUGCCUCCUCUUGACAGUGCUGUCAGAUUCAUAUUGAAUGCUAAAGAAAUCUUUAAUAACUGGACACAAUUUUCCUUACCAAUUCAGAAAUAUGAAUGCCCUCAUAACCUACUGCAAAUGCUUCCCAUGAGCACUCAAGAGCAACGGGUAUGACAGGGUUUUGAUGGGUGGAGUGUACUUUUGCAUCUGUUAUCUUUAUAGAAAUUCAAAAGCCUUUUUGUCACAACUGCCAUGAUAUCAUUAUUCUUGGGCCUUUAAUGGUUCAGUGAAGAGCUACUACAUGCUGCUUAAAUGGGCAGAGUGAGGGGUUGCUCACUACGAUUUUUAGAUCAUUUACCCUUUCAAUGCUUGUCUGGCAUACACACUCCUGUUCUAUUGCUUUCACUGCAAGAUCUAUAAUGUAUUUAUUUUAUUUUAUUUUAUUUAUUUACGAGAUAAUGCCAACACAUUCUGCUGACAAAUAUGAAGAAGAAGCCUUGCCCCAAAAUGUUUAUUAGCUGAAUAGGUUAUUUGAUAUAUCAAUAAGCUGAAAUCAAUAGGAUCAGGAGUCAGACUGAUCCAUUACAUGUCAGUACAAUGUAUACACAUUUCUUUGUUAGCUUCAGUCUACUCUUGCAUGCAGCUUCAUGCUUGCAUGACCCAAACCAAGUACUAUGGCAGUGAGAAAACUGUGGCAGUUUGGGAUUAUCUUUACAAGAUAGUAUCCUUUGUGUGUGUCUGUAUGUGUGUGUGCAUGUGGUUCAUGUGAAAACAAGACAAGGGCUUACCUUGUCUGAUCCAAUGCAUGAUCAUUAAAAUAAAGCUUCUUGAAGAAGGCUGGCACUGGAUGUCUACUAAAUCUUCAGAAUAAAUGAUUAUUAUGAUAUUUCAGUGUUGCAAUAUUUUUUGUUGAAGAGGCACUGUUUUAAUUGAAGUUACAGAUGAGCAAUACAAAAAAAAAUCCUCUAUCUACUUUAAAACUUAUGUAUGCAACUGAAGGAAAAACAUGACACAAUAAUAAAAUAUAUUUCAGAAAUUCUUGAACAAUCACAACAUUGUAGAGGUCCAAGAUAUCAGAUGGGUGAUCUCAUUAAGGAAGGAAGUUCAUAAGAGAAGUAACCUUAGUUCAGUUGUUUCUUUAAGUAAAUUUAAUUAAUUGAAGCUCAAUCUCCAAAUAUUUAUUGUACAAGUCCAUUUUUAAAUUAGUAAUUUCCCAUUGAAAAUACCUUUUCUAUGUUCAUUGUAAAGCCUCAAAUCCUUUAUUAGGCUCUAUUAAUGUGGUCCCAUGUGUCCAUCCAGAGUCCCAUAUAUUUGGGAUUUCUCUCAUGCACAGGCAUAAUUGUUAAUAGAUUCUGAUGGGGCCUUAGAACUUUACAGAAAAAAUGAGCCU